GUCAGCUCAGAACUGGUACGG
rnacentral:snRNA from 1 species